rnacentral:rRNA from 1 species
CUCCUACGGGGCGCAGCAGUGGGGAAUAUUGCACAAUGGGGGAAACCCUGAUGCAGCGACGCCGCGUGAGCGAAGAAGUAUUUCGGUAUGUAAAGCUCUAUCAGCAGGGAAGAAAAAUGGCGGUACCUGAGUAAGAAGCACCGGCUAAAUACGUGCCAGCAGCCGCGGUAAUACGUAUGGUGCAAGCGUUAUCCGGAUUUACUGGGGGUAAAGGGCGUGCAGCCGGAGAGGCAAGUCAGAUGUGAAAUCCGCGGGCUCAACUCGCGAACUGCAUUUGAAACUGCUUCCCUU